rnacentral:tRNA from 1 species
ACCCGUAUAGCUCAAUCGGUAGAGCAACCGGCUGUUAACCGAGAGGUUGAAGGUUCGAGUCCUUCUAUGGGUGCCA